rnacentral:lncRNA from 1 species
UACAUUUAAGAUUCAAGGUGGGAAAAAGCAGAUUUUAUUUUAUUUUUUUAAUUUUGGGUUCUCCAUUUCAACAAAAACUUUGGAGCCAUGCAAAGCAUAUAAACAAACUUUAAACAAUCUAACGCGACUUUUUGGGUGCGGAGGCAAUGUAUCCGGGCUUUGCUUCCUGCCCUCAUACACCUUAUCCGAUAUCUUUGCGGCCCCCCGUGUUUACACCAUGCGGUUGAGGUUUGUGGAAGCAAAUAUCAAUCGAAUGGUAUCGCUUUCGUAUUGGAUCGGAAUCAAUCUAAUAACGGGACUUGGAGGUGUUAAGCUUCUUAUCAUCCCGAUAUCGAGCUAUUUUUCGGCAGGACCGUAGAGUUUUAACCACCAAGAUAUGGAUGAAUUGAUGUGUGUAUUAUUACUUUGUAUAUUACUUAUGUUUUACAAGUUUUAAUCUUGAAUAUAUUUGUUUUGUACUCGAUGUUUAGAAGUACUUUGAUUUUAUGUAUGCUUUCAUCGUGGAAUAUGACUCGGUGCCUUUUGGACAUACUUCUUAUUUUCUAUUUUUAAAAUAAAAAAGUAGUAAUAAUUGUUGUAUA